UGGGGAAUUUUGGACAAUGGGCGCAAGCCUGAUCCAGCCAUUCCGCGUGAGUGAAGAAGGCCUUCGGGUUGUAAAGCUCUUUCGCAAGGGAAGAAAACUUAUCCUCUAACAUAGGAUGAGGUUGACGGUACCUUGAUAAGAAGCACCGGCUAACUACGUGCCAGCAGCCGCGGUAAUACGUAGGGUGCAAGCGUUAAUCGGAAUUACUGGGCGUAAAGCGUGCGCAGGCGGUUAUACAAGACAGGCGUGAAAUCCCCGGGCUUAACCUGGGAAUGGCGCCUGUGACUGUAUAGCUAGAGUGUGUCAGAGGGGGGUAGAAUUCCGCGUGUAGCAGUGAAAUGCGUAGAUAUGCGGAGGAACACCGAUGGCGAAGGCAGCCCCCUGGGAUAAUACUGACGCUCAUGCACGAAAGCGUGGGGAGCAAACAGG
rnacentral:rRNA from 1 species